rnacentral:rRNA from 1 species
CCUACGGGGCGCAGCAGUGGGGAAUAUUGCGCAAUGGGCGAAAGCCUGGCGCAGCGACGCCGCGUGAGCGAGGAAGUACCUCGGUAUGUAAAGCUCUGUCAGCAGGGAAGAAAAUGACAGUACCUGAUCAAGAAGCCCCGGCUAACUACGUGCCAGCAGCCGCGGUAAUACGUAGGGGGCAAGCGUUAUCCGGAUUCACUGGGCGUAAAGGGAGCGCAGGCGGCACGGCAAGUCUGAUGUGAAAACCCGGGGCUCAACCCCGGGACUGCAUUGGAAACUGCCGGGCUGGAGUGUCGGAAGGGUAA